GAUGAACGCUAGCGGCAGGCUUAAUACAUGCAAGUCGAGGGACAGCACAGGUAGCAAUACUGGGUGGUAACCGGCAAACGGGUGCGGAACACGUACACAACCUUCCUUUAAGUGGGGGAUAGCCCGGAGAAAUUUGGAUUAAUACCCCGUAAUAUAGUUGAAUGGCAUCGUUUGAUUAUUAUAGCUACGGCGCUUAAUGAUGGGUGUGCGGCUGAUUAGAUAGUUGGCGGGGUAACGGCCCACCAAGUCUACGAUCAGUAGCUGAUGUGAGAGCAUGAUCAGCCACACGGGCACUGAGACACGGGCCCGACUCCUACGGGAGGCAGCAGUAAGGAAUAUUGGUCAAUGGACGCAAGUCUGAACCAGCCAUGCCGCGUGAAGGAUUAAGGUCCUCUGGAUUGUAAGCUUCUUUUAUUUGGGACGAAAAAGGGCCUUUCUAGGUCAACUGACGGUACCAGAUGAAUAAGCACCGGCUAACUCCGUGCCAGCAGCCGCCGUAAGAC
rnacentral:rRNA from 1 species